GACGAACGCUGGCGGCGUGCUUAACACAUGCAAGUCGAACGGAAAGGCCCUGCUUUUGUGGGGUGCUCGAGUGGCGAACGGGUGAGUAACACGUGAGUAACCUGCCCUUGACUUUGGGAUAACUUCAGGAAACUGGGGCUAAUACCGGAUAGGAGCUCCUGCUGCAUGGUGGGGGUUGGAAAGUUUCGGCGGUUGGGGAUGGACUCGCGGCUUAUCAGCUUGUUGGUGGGGUAGUGGCUUACCAAGGCUUUGACGGGUAGCCGGCCUGAGAGGGUGACCGGCCACAUUGGGACUGAGAUACGGCCCAGACUCCUACGGGAGGCAGCAGUGGGGAAUAUUGAACAAUGGGCGGAAGCCUGAUGCAGCAACGCCGCGUGCGGGAUGACGGCCUUCGGGUGGUAAACCGCUUUCGCCUGUGACGAAGCGUGAGUGACGGUAAUGGGUAAAGAAGCACCGGCUAACUACGU
rnacentral:rRNA from 1 species